rnacentral:rRNA from 1 species
UACGGAUGGUGCAAGCGUUAUCCGGAUUCACUGGGUUUAAAGGGCGCGUAGGUGGGCAGGUAAGUCAGUGGUGAAAUCUCCGGGCUUAACCCGGAAACUGCCAUUGAUACUAUCAGUCUUGAAUACCGUGGAGGUAAGCGGAAUAUGUCAUGUAGCGGUGAAAUGCUUAGAUAUGACAUAGAACACCAAUUGCGAAGGCAGCUUACUAACCGAAUAUUGACACUGAGGCACGAAAGCGUGGGGAUCAAACAGG